rnacentral:rRNA from 1 species
GUGAGGAAUAUUGGUCAAUGGGCGGGAGCCUGAACCAGCCAAGUCGCGUGAAGGAAGAAGGAUCUAUGGUUCGUAAACUUCUUUUGCAGGGGAAUAAAGUGCAGGACGUGUCCUGUUUUGUAUGUACCCUGAGAAUAAGGAUCGGCUAACUCCGUGCCAGCAGCCGCGGUAAUACGGAGGAUCCGAGCGUUAUCCGGAUUUAUUGGGUUUAAAGGGUGCGUAGGUGGUUUGAUAAGUCAGCGGUGAAAGUUUGCAGCUUAACUGUAAAAAUGCCGUUGAAACUGUCGGACUCGAGUGUAAAUGAGGUAGGCGGAAUGCGUGGUGUAGCGGUGAAAUGCAUAGAUAUCACGCAGAACUCCGAUUGCGAAGGCAGCUUACUAAGCUACAACUGACACUGAAGCACGAAAGCGUGGGGAUCAAACAGGAUUAGAAACCCGGGUAGUCC